rnacentral:rRNA from 1 species
GAUGAACGCUGGCGGUAUGCCUUACACAUGCAAGUCGUACGAGAGUUUUUAACUCUAGGGGCGGACGGGUGAGUAAUGCGUGAGAAUCUGCCCUCUGGUCGGGGACAACCACGGGAAACUGUGGCUAAUACCGGAUAGGCCGAAAGGUGAAAAAUUUAUUGCCAGAAGAGGAGCUCGCGUCUGAUUAGCUAGUUGGUGGGGUAAAGGCUUACCAAGGCAGCGAUCAGUAGCUGGUCUGAGAGGAUGAUCAGCCACACUGGGACUGAGACACGGCCCAGACUCCUACGGGAGGCAGCAGUGGGGAAUUUUCCGCAAUGGGCGAAAGCCUGACGGAGCAAUACCGCGUGAGGGAGGAAGGCUCUUGGGUCGUAAACCUCUUUUGUCAGGGAAGAAGCUCUGACGGUACCUGACGAAUAAGCAUCGGCUAACUCCGUGCCAGCAGCCGCGGUAAUACGGAGGAUGCAAGCGUUAUCCGGAAUUAUUGGGCGUAAAGCGUCCGCAGGUGGCAAUCCAAGUCUGCUGUUAAAGACCGGGGCUUAACUCCGGAAAGGCAGUGGAAACUGGAUAGC